AAAGAACAAAAAAAAUAUUCACUUAUUUGUUGUUUGAGUUGACAUGAAAUUGUCAAUACUUAAAUAAAUCGCAGUAAUUGCAGAAAGCACAUUACGGAUUCAUUUCAAUUUACAAUUAUGGUUACAAAUGUCAUAAUUACAAAUGUCAAAAGUACAAUUAUGACAUAAAAUUGCUAUGAAUACUGAUGAAGUUCAUAUCUUUCCUCUUUUGCCAUUUACAAGAGUUUCAAAGUUUACGAUUCUCUAUACAAACGUUAUUCUAUAAAUCUUUGCGAUAGACCCUCGCAGCAGAUUGCGAAAAAUAUGGAUGACUCGUUAUGUGCAUCCGGCGAAACCCGUUGCAGGAAUCGUAAAACAGUCACGUCCGACUUUCGGCAAACUGUCGAAUGUCUCGCCGGAGCUUAUGCACACGCGAGAAUAUAUCGUUAUCGCGAAUUGCAAACAUGUAACGCACGGAUCAAGCGAUCCCAAGUACGGGACAGGGCGAAAAUCUAGAAACAACAGAAAUUUCAUAAUGCCGAGUUACGUAAACCUUGUGCGGAUGUCGUAAAGGUGCGACCUGUUCUAGGAAUCCGCGUGAUUAAGCAAAGCAAUUAUUAGCACUUUAGCGGAGGAUACACAAUCUGUGCGAUCUACGGCGAGGGAUAAAUUGCAAUUUCGUCACUUACAUUAGUACCUUGUGCUUGUGCCGUGCUCCCUGUUAAAGUGAAACGCGGGAUGGGACACGGACUCUCGAGUAAUAGAUUACGCACUUAAAAUUUACGGCUUCCUGUGUAAAAAAGAAAAGCGAUCCGCAGUGGAAGUACCGGCUAUGCUACUGAGAACUGAGAUUUGUGCUUAAGGUAGAAGAAAAAUCGUGGCCUCUCGCAGGAAUCUCGCGCUUGAAUCAGUUGUAAUCUACAAAUUCGAACGGUUGUCUCGGUCGCAGCAAAAAGACUCUAAAAUCAUCACAGUAGACAUAAAUAGAUUCAUGCGGAUAAGUAUACGCACGAGAGUACAAAUCAAUACAGUCGGGCAAAUAUUAAUAGUAAUAUAGAUUCGCAAGAAAGCCUUGCUGACAAUAUAAUAAGUUAAAUACAGUCAUGUAGGAAAAUCAGCGUAAGACAGAGUGCGAAAGUUUUAAAAAAUUCCUAUCAAAACCCAAACUCUUAUUGCAGUCAAGAUCGUGCGAUUCUUUCAAUACAUUUUCAAUAUACCGGGAAGACAAAAUAUAAAGUGGAACGCACAUUUAGAACAAUCAAAAGUUCAGAUUUUAUUUAUUUCAUGUCCGCCAAUCUAACAAUUGAAUUUUAACGCUUAAGUGAUCCGUCACCUAGAGAUUAAAAGUUAUAAAUUCUUUUCUACGUUUCACUGAUUUGAUUUAUUUUUGUAAAUUGUUUAUAUAUUUAAUUAUUCGUAUGCAGUUAAGUAACAGUCAAUAUUUGGUAGAGAAACCGUUUGCUUAGUCAUUGAAUCUAUCACCAAACAUCCUAUACCAUACAUUAUACUUACAUUAUUAUGAAACGCACGCCUCAUCACAAGUGUAUAGAGAUUCACAAAAAUUUACGUGACUGCUCGACUGUCAAAAAGAUUUGUUCGCUCGCGAUUAUUUGUGCGACAGUGAUUUCUGCGACACAAGCGCCGCGUUUAAUCGUUUGAAUCGCUAUAAUAAAAUGAAAUAUAAUAAAAUGUGGAUUUUAAUUAAUUGCGCACACAUCGCGCAAUUAGCCUCACGCGUUCAAACAAUGCGCAUUGCGUAACAAUCACUUUGCGAAAUCUCUAUUCGAGGCUGCGCGAUCGGACUCGAAUCCAAUACACGGCGAUUAAGUAUUUACGGAAGACAAGCGGAAUUCGGGUCCGAUGUGCCAUGCAACAUCGAAUCGCUUGUUAAUUAUGUAAGUAACGGCGGUUCGAUUGCCAUCGCGUCACCUGUGGAGUUAUGUCAGAGCUGACCGCCAAUCGCCGAUUUCUAAUCGCAUCUCUAUCCGCGUGCAACGCAGAUUUUUUAUUUAGCUUUGUGUGCAAAUAUGACUAGGGCAUCUAAUAAUAUUGAAAUGUUUGUAAUUACAUAACAAUGCAUAAUGUACAUGCGAAAAAUGUUUGUUUUAUGCUACAAUUGUGAAAAAUUAAUUGAAAAAUAAAGUUUAUAAU